CAGCCAUAGAUUUUGAUGACAUGGCUGCUGGAUUGAACAAGAGAAGAAUGAUACAGCAUGCUGUCUUUCAAGAGUUGUGUAAGCUAGUUGAUCCUGGUGUGAAAACAUGGCAGCCGCACAAAGGCAAACCUAAUAUUAUCAUGUUUGUUGGCCUUCAAGGUAGUGGAAAGACUACAACUUGUACAAA